CAUUAAGUGACUGAAAUGUAAGUAAUGGUCUCUUAAACCAUAAAUAUUAAUUUAACAAUUAUUCUUAAUG
rnacentral:tRNA from 3 species